UGUGCAUGCAAUGGUCUACGUGACAGGCACAUAUUAACAGGCCUGUACAAACCAGUGGCACCACUUUCACCACGUUUGCCUGUUACUCACCAGGACAGCUCACCACCAUGGGACUUUUAAUUCACCAUGCAAUUUCUUUCAUCAGUCCAGGAAGUGGCAUCCAGCUGAGUUCCAACAGUUCCUCUGCACUCUUCCCCAGGCUUAGGGGGCCAGCGCUGACUGACAGAGGCCCUGCCGUGAGAGGCGGAGAGCUCCUCUUGAGCCUCAGCAUGCAGCUCCUUUCCCAGGACCGCCUUGAAGCCUCCGGCCGCUCUCUAGGAGGGCACCACUUCGCUCUCAGACCUCAUCCCCAAACCUUUG